GGCUGCACUGCCUUAGGACCUUCCUCCUGUGUUGUGAAGUCAAGAAAACAAAGAUUGAUCUACCCUGAGCUCUUACUUGUCCUGUUGAGGACACCAGGUUCACCCAACCUUAAAAAUACAUCCUUAAAACAGACAAAACUCUGGA